GUUCAAGCUAAGCCAUGCAAGUUAUAGAGCAAUAUAAAAAUCUGCGAAAAGCUCCAUAUACCUGUUAUAACCAACCACGCGAAACCACCCAGGGUUUUCCAACAUUAGCCCGUCCCGGGGUAAACGGAUAAUGUUGGAAACGCUAGCAAUAAUACGUUGUAUUGGCGCUAGCGCCCGGGGCGGGUUUCUACGGGUGUUGCCGGGCUCUCUCCUACCCCCCUCCCUCUCCAGCUUGCUGGUUUGGGAGUUGGAGAGAGUACCGUGCUUCUUCCGGCGUGGCACACACCUUCUCAGAGGGCAUGCCAAGGCUUUGGGACCCAAAGGGCGAGUGUGCAACCCACAAAUAUGCUGUCUCCAGAUCCGUUUGGAGCAGACUGCGUGGCCCUUGCACAUUCCACCCUUCUCACUGACUUGACCGUGCAGGAUUUGGGGUGUGUGUCUAAUAGAAACCACGAGGUAAUGCCAUGCCCUUUCUUCGGGGGGGGUGUGUGUAUUGCCCGCGCGUGUUGGGUUUCAGACCUAUCAACUAGACGAUUGGUUAGACUCCUUUCGUGGUGAUAACGGGUACAGAGGAUUAGGGUUUGAUCCUGGAGAGGUAGCCUUAAAAAUUGCUCCCACUUCCAUGGAAGGCAGCAGGCGCGCAACGUUCUCAAUGGUCUGGCAACGGGACCGAAGACGUUAAGGAACAUAGCAAUACUCUGCCGUUAAACGCAGGGCAAUUGCAAUGGGGGCGACAUAAAUCCUCCACCGAGAAACAAUUGGAGGACAAGUCUGG
rnacentral:rRNA from 1 species